UAAAAAGACCAUCCCAGUUCGGAUUGCAGGCUGCAACCCGCCUGUAUGAAGUUGGAAUCGCUAGUAAUCGCGGAUCAGCAUGCCGCGGUGAAUACGUUCCCGGGCCUUGUACACACCGCCCGUCACACCAUGAGAGUCGGGAACACCCGAAGUCCGUAGCCUAACCGCAAGGAGGGCGCGGCCGAAGGUGGGUUCGAUAAUUGGGGUGAAGUCGUAACAAGGUAAC
rnacentral:rRNA from 1 species